rnacentral:rRNA from 1 species
AGAGUUUGAUCCUGGCUCAGGACGAACGCUGGCGGCGUGCCUAACACAUGCAAGUCGAACGGAGAAUUUUAUUUCGGUAGAAUUCUUAGUGGCGAACGGGUGAGUAACGCGUAGGCAACCUGCCCUUUAGACGGGGACAACAUUCCGAAAGGAGUGCUAAUACCGGAUGUGAUCAUCUUGCCGCAUGGCAGGAUGAAGAAAGAUGGCCUCUACAAGUAAGCUAUCGCUAAAGGAUGGGCCUGCGUCUGAUUAGCUAGUUGGUAGUGUAACGGACUACCAAGGCGAUGAUCAGUAGCCGGUCUGAGAGGAUGAACGGCCACAUUGGGACUGAGACACGGCCCAAACUCCUACGGGAGGCAGCAGUGGGGAAUCUUCCGCAAUGGACGAAAGUCUGACGGAGCAACGCCGCGUGAGUGAUGAAGGAUUUCGGUCUGUAAAGCUCUGUUGUUUAUGACGAACGUGCAGUGUGUGAACAAUGCAUUGCAAUGACGGUAGUAAACGAGGAAGCCACGGCUAACUACGUGCCAGCAGCCGCGGUAAUACGUAGGUGGCGAGCGUUGUCCGGAAUUAUUGGGCGUAAAGAGCAUGUAGGCGGCUUAAUAAGUCGAGCGUGAAAAUGCGGGGCUCAACCCCGUAUGGCGCUGGAAACUGUUAGGCUUGAGUGCAGGAGAGGAAAGGGGAAUUCCCAGUGUAGCGGUGAAAUGCGUAGAUAUUGGGAGGAACACCAGUGGCGAAGGCGCCUUUCUGGACUGUGUCUGACGCUGAGAUGCGAAAGCCAGGGUAGCGAACGGGAUUAGAUACCCCGGUAGUCCUGGCCGUAAACGAUGGGUACUAGGUGUAGGAGGUAUCGACCCCUUCUGUGCCGGAGUUAACGCAAUAAGUACCCCGCCUGGGGAGUACGGCCGCAAGGUUGAAACUCAAAGGAAUUGACGGGGGCCCGCACAAGCGGUGGAGUAUGUGGUUUAAUUCGACGCAACGCGAAGAACCUUACCAAGGCUUGACAUUUACAGGAAUAACUAAGAAAUUAGUUAGCUCUUCGGAGUCUGUAUACAGGUGGUGCAUGGUUGUCGUCAGCUCGUGUCGUGAGAUGUUGGGUUAAGUCCC